rnacentral:lncRNA from 10 species
GUAGGAUGUAAGGAAAAGAGUACAGCUAGAGAUCAUGAAGGUUCGGGCUUAAAUAAAUGAGAAAUGGAGCUACUUUUAUGGAGCAACCUUGAGGGUAAAGAUAAUCAGGAGUUUGAUUUUGAAGAAUGUUAAUUUCAAGAUACUAAUGAGACACCCAAGUAGAGAUGUCAAGAAGGCAGUUGGAUAUGCAAGCCCAGAGUUCAACUGAGACGUCUGGCUUAGAGCUAGAAAUUUGGGAUCCAUCUGCAUAGAUUUGGUAUGAAAACCUAUAAAAUUUGACAAAAUCUUCUGGAGAAUGAGUGCAGAUGGGAAAGAAUCAACAUAAGGAACUGAGCUUGGGGCACUCCAACAUUUAAGGGUUGGGGAGAUGAGGAGGAGAGACCAGUAAGGAAAGCAAAGAACCAAGAAAGAAUAGUCCAUGGAGAAAAAAGUAUUUCAAGAAGUGAAGGAUACACUGUAUCAAAUACUACUGACAGGAUGACUAAACUGAAGAUUAGUAAUUGGCCACCGGAUUUGGUAAGAUGAGGAUCACUGGUGAUCUUGAUGUAAGUUGGUUUAAAAAAAUUUUUUUUUGAGACAGAAUCUCGCUCUGUUGCCCAGGCUGGAGUGCAGUGGCACGAACACAGCUCAUUGAAGCUUUGACCUCUUGGGCUUAGGCGAUCCUUCUGCCUCAGCCUUCCCGGUAGCUGGGGUCAUAGGUGGAACACAGUGAAAUGAAUUCUAGCUCAUCAGCUGAGAAAGAAGAGGAGUGAGGAGGAACUGGACAGUUGUGGAGAGAAGAGAAAGUAUGAAAUAGCUGUGCAU